UCAAAUUUACAAAUUUUUAAAAAUUUUGAAAAUCAUUUGAUACUUUGUUUCAUUAAUUUAAAUCAAUGUAUAAAAUGAUUUCAUAAUUGUCCAUCAAUUUGAAUUUAAUGAAACAAAGUAUGAAAUGGUUUUCAAAUUUUUUAAAAAAUUUUAGAC
rnacentral:miRNA from 1 species